AUACGGAGGAUCCGAGCGUUAUCCGGAUUUAUUGGGUUUAAAGGGUGCGCAGGCGGCCAUUUAAGUCAGCGGUUAAAUCGUGGGGCUCCACCCCAUUCUGCCGUUGAUACUGGGUGGCUUGAUUGCGGUCGAGGUUGGCGGAAUUCGUUGUGUAGCGGGGAAAUGCAUAGAUAUGACGAAGAACACCGAUUGCGUAGGCAGCUGACCAGACCGCAAAUGACGCUCAUGCACGAAAGUGCGGGGAUCGAACAGGAUUAGAUACCCUGGUAGUCCGCACAGUAAACGAUGAAUACUUGUUUUCGGCGAUAUAAUGUCGGAGGCAAAGCAAAAGCGAUAAGUAUUCCACCUGGGGAGUACGCCGGCAACGGUGAAACUCAAAGGAAUUGGCGGGG
rnacentral:rRNA from 1 species